CAACACUGUGUGAACAUGGGUAGUGGUGUUCAAAAGCUCACUUUUGGAAAAGGAACUCAGCUCCUGGUGCAGCCAAGGAAAGAGAACACAAACCCAUCUGCCUAUGUCUUGGCAUCAGCUAAAGGGCCUGGGGCCUGUCUGGCCACUGACUUCGGGUCAUACAACACCACAAUCUCGGUCAAUGGGAUUAACAGCGGUGCUCAGCCCAGUCUGAUCGAGGGAGAGAAGGCCUACAGCAUGGUGAAGAUCAUGCAGGAUCCAAACGUUAAAUGUGAAGUGAAUUUCGGAAAUGGCUCAGUUGUAGAAGCACAGAAAGAUGACGGUUUGGACCUGUGCAGCACUGCGGGAAACCAGUAUUUCCAGACAGAUGAAAAGAUCAACUUCUUGUCCUUGACUGUCCUGGUCCUCCGAGUUCUCUUCCUGAAAAGCAUCGGCUUCAACGUGCUCAUGACUAUCCGAAUGUGGGGAAGUUAGGGAGGUGUUGGUCCCUCCAGGCUGGCGACAAGACAGAAAAGGAAAGAAUGAAACAGCGAAAAAAAAAACCGUUCGGAUUUGAGAUGUUUCGGGCUUUGCUGCUUAUUAUCAUCUUUCAAACAAUGACAGCGCCUCUCUCCUAGUUUAAACGGAAGAAUGUUCCACAAGUGCCCGUAUCGUGCUCUAUAAAGAAUCUUCUAUAAAGAUUGAUCUGCAGAGAUAUUAUAUUGUAUAAAAGAAUAUUCCAAAUGCAUUGUCAUCUAGGUGUAUAUUCCUAAUCACAGACGUACGUGUGAAAAAUGUAUAUGAGAACAUUUUGUUCAAAAAGCUUUUUUGUUUGCGUUUUUGCUCGUAUCAGCUUGUUAAACACAAAAGUGCUUGGUCUCCAUCUGCAAGUCCUAGUGUUUCAGUUCUCUGCUGUUAGGUAGCGAACAUCUUUAGAGCAGGUAUGUGCCAUACAGCGCCAGAAUGGACUGGCCAUCCAGACGUUAGUAUGUGAGAACAUGGCCUCAGGCACUGAUACACAUAGACUUGCAGAAGGUAGGUUCUUAGCAUCUAAAAUUAGCCAAUUAUCAAUUUAUCAUUUGUAAAAAAAAAAAUGUAUCUUUAGUUAUUCUUUACUUACAAUUACCCAUGUUUCUCUAGAACAUGUUUCUCGGGAAGCUUUGAUGGGUUUUAGGUCAAUUCAAAGCCAGAUGUAAACUGUCACGAUGAAAUAGCAGUGCUGUUGUGGUGCAGUAACAUGUAAAUGAAUGGCUUUUAAUCCAUUGUGUUAACCUGAAAUCUCAACCUGUGACAUUCUGGUUUAGCCUUUGGCUGUAUAAAUGCUUUGUUUUCUGUUUUGAAUAUGUAAUGAAUAUGUAAUUUACUUCUGUGGCUGUGCUUAAAUAAAUCUAGAUUUAAAUACUG